rnacentral:lncRNA from 1 species
UGCCGGAGCGGCGCGUCGCCGUCGCCGCCAUCGGCAGUAGCGGCGGCCGCGUUUUGGCGGAAGUAGGUGAGCGCCGUGGCCGCGCCGUGCAGGCCGACGGCCGCGGCGUCGUACGCCCUGGCGGCGUCCUCGGCUGUGGCGAAGACGCCGAGGUGCUUCAUGGCGCGCCGCGACGGGUCCCAGAUCCGCGACCGGUACUUGCCGUGCUGCAGCCGGUACACGCCGAGGACCUCCGAGCGGGCCGUCUUCUUCCUCCUGCCGCUGCCGGCCGUGGCCACGGCCCCGUCGCGCUCCGCCGCCAUCGCAGCGCCGAGGGGAGAGAGCACGUCAGGUUCUUGGGGGGGUUUUCGGGUGGCAGUUGCAGAGCCUGUAGAGGACGGUGAGAGAGGGUUUGGGAUGUGGAUGAGGCAGCGGAGACCGUCGAGACCUGCGUUGCCAAACG